rnacentral:rRNA from 1 species
UACGUAGGGGGCAAGCGUUGUCCGGAAUCAUUGGGCGGAAAGCGCGUGUAGGCGGUUCGAUAAGUCUGCUGUGAAAGUCCAGGGCUCAACCCUGGAAAGCCGGUGGAUACUGUCGGACUAGAGUGCGGAAGAGGCGAGUGGAAUUCCCGGUGUAGCGGUGAAAUGCGCAGAUAUCGGGAGGAACACCAAUUGCGAAGGCAGCUCGCUGGGACGUUGCUGACGCUGAGACGCGAAAGCGUGGGGAGCAAACAGG